AGUUUGACUAUAUUCUUCCUUAUUUAUUCUAUAGAUAUGACUAAUUAACACUUAAAAAUUUUAAAUUUAACUUUUUUUUUUUUUUUGAGACAGAGUUUUUGCUUUGUUGCUCAGGCUGGAGUGCAGUGGCAUGAUCUUGGCUCACUGCAACCUCUGCCUCCUGGAUUCAAGUGAUUCUCCUGCCUCAGCCUCCCGAGUAGCUAGGGUUAUAGGCGCUUGCCACCAUGCCCAGCUGCUUUUUUUUUUUUUUUUUUCUGAGACAGAUUUUCGCUCUUGUUGCCCAGGCUGGCGUGCAAUGGCGUGAUCUCGGCUCACUGCAACCUUUGCCGCCUGGAUGCAAGUGAUUCUCCUGCCUCAGUCUCUGGAGUA
rnacentral:lncRNA from 1 species